rnacentral:rRNA from 1 species
GACGAACGCUGGCGGCGUGCCUAAUACAUGCAAGUUGAGCGCUGAAGGUUGGUACUUGUACCGACUGGAUGAGCCGCGAACGGGUGAGUAACGCGUGGGGAAUCUGCCUUUGAGCGGGGGACAACAUGUGGAAACGAAUGCUAAUACCGCAUAAAAACUUUAAACACAAGUUUUAAGUGUGAAAGAUGCAAUUGCAUCACUCAAAGAUGAUCCCGCGUUGUAUUAGCUUGUUGGUGAGGUAAAGGCUCACCAAGGCGAGGAUACAUAGCCGCACUGAGAGGGUGAUUGGCCGCCUUGGGACUGUGACACGGCACAUACGCCCACGGGAGGCAGCAGUAGGGAAACUUGGGCCAGGGAUGAAAGUCAUACCGCGAAACGCCGCGUGAGGGUAGAAGGGUGUCGGAUCGUAAAUCUCUGUUUGUAGGGAAGAACGCUCGUUAGCGUGGAAAGCACAGCAAGUGACGGUAACUACUCAGAAAGCGACGGCUAACUACGUG